GAUGAACGCUAGCGGGAGGCUUAAUACAUGCAAGUCGAGCGAGAACCCUUUCUUCGGAGAGGCGGACAGCGGCGCACGGGUGAGUAACGCGUACGCAAUCUACCUCACAGAGGGGAAUAGCCCUGGGAAACUGGGAUUAAUGCCCCAUAGUUUUGAUUUAUCACCUGAUAGAUCAAAUAAAGCUCUGGUGCUGUGAGAUGAGCGUGCGUACUAUUAGCUAGUUGGUGAGGUAAUGGCUCACCAAGGCGACGAUAGUUAGGGGGCGUGAGAGCGUGAUCCCCCACACGGGUACUGAGACACGGACCCGACUCCUACGGGAGGCAGCAGUAAGGAAUAUUGGACAAUGGGCGCAAGCCUGAUCCAGCCAUCCCGCGUGAAGGAUGACUGCCCUAUGGGUUGUAAACUUCUUUUAUAUACCAAGAACCACCUGGAUUUAUCCGGGCUUGACGGUAGUAUAUGAAUAAGCACCGGCUAACUCCG
rnacentral:rRNA from 1 species